rnacentral:rRNA from 1 species
CCUACGGGUGGCAGCAGUGGGGAAUGUUGGACAAUGGGCGCAAGCCUGAUCCAGCUAUUCCGCGUGUGGGAAGACGGCCUUCGGGUUGUAAACCACUUUUGUAGAGAACGAAAAGUCUAGUGAUAAUACCGAUAGAUGAUGACGGUACUCUAAGAAGAAGCACCGGCUAACUACGUGCCAGCAGCCGCGGUAAUACGUAGGGUGCGAGCGUUAAUCGGAAUUACUGGGCGUAAAGGGUGUGCAGGCGGUUUUGCAAGAUGGAGGUGAAAGCCCCGGGCUUAACCUGGGAAAGCCAUCCAUGACUGCAAGCCUAGAGUGCGUCAGAGGGGGGUGGCCUUCCAAGUGUAGCCG